AGGAUUUGUUAGUCUGCUGUUAAAAAGCCGGGAAAGAAACAAUGAUAUCGUGGUCUCUUCUCUCUCUCUCCAGGAAGCUAAUACAGAACAGAUUUAUUGAUUCAAAUGCCUAAAACAUGCUUCUGAUCAGCAAAAAUGCAAUUGUGGAGGAAUUUAUUUAUGAAAACUAAGAGAACAAAUUGCACAGUAGGUGGCGAAAGAUAUUACCCAUUCUCCUUUAUCCAUAACUUGAACGGUAAUUAUGUCGUCUGCGUCUCAUUUUUUAUUGUCCUUUUCUUAUAAUUGCUAGUAUGUUUAUACAUUUGUUAACUUUUAUGCAAAUAUAUGGAAUGUAGGUUUAUUUUGUCA